UCGGGAAUUCCCAGGGCGAGACGGGUAGCCGGCCUGAGAGGGCGACCGGCCACACUGGGACUGAGACACGGCCCAGACUCCUACGGGAGGCAGCAGUGGGGAAUAUUGCACAAUGGGCGAAAGCCUGAUGCAGCGACGCCGCGUGAGGGAUGACGGCCUUCGGGUUGUAAACCUCUUUCAGCAGGGAAGAAGCGCAAGUGACGGUACCUGCAGAAGAAGCACCGGCUAACUACGUGCCAGCAGCCGCGGUAAUACGUAGGGUGCGAGCGUUGUCCGGAAUUAUUGGGCGUAAAGAGCUCGUAGGCGGCCUGUCGCGUCGGAUGUGAAAGCCCGGGGCUCAACCCCGGGUCUGCAUUCGAUACGGGCAGGCUGGAGUGUGGUAGGGGAGAUCGGAAUUCCUGGUGUAGCGGUGAAAUGCGCAGAUAUCAGGAGGAACACCGGUGGCGAAGGCGGAUCUCUGGGCCAUUACUGACGCUGAGGAACACAAAGCGUGGGGAGCGAACAGGAUUAGAUACCCUGGUAGUCCACGCCGUAAACGUUGGGAACUAGGUGUUGGCGACAUUCCACGUCGUCGGUGCCGCAGCUAACGCAUUAAGUUCCCCGCCAGGGGGGAGUACGGA
rnacentral:rRNA from 1 species